ACACCUCAACUCUCAUGGCUUGCCAUGAUGAGCUUGGACCUUGGGGGUCUUGCUGGCAUACGCAAUGUAGGUCAGCUCCUCUCAAAUGAAUCAGCUCGCCAGUGUUUGGUGGCAUCACAGGUGUGAUAAUUAUCUACGCUUGUGGUGUUCCACCAGGUAACCUUCAGCGAUGGAGGUUCACUGGAGCUCAUAAAUGUCUCUCCUUGGUGAGGACAUAUUUUGACC
rnacentral:misc_RNA from 1 species